AACGAACGCUGGCGGCAGGCUUAACACAUGCAAGUCGAACGCAUCGCAAGAUGAGUGGCAGACGGGUGAGUAACGCGUGGGAAUCUACCUAGUUCUACGGAACAACAGUUGGAAACGAAUGCUAAUACCGUAUACGCCCUACGGGGGAAAGAUUUAUCGGAAUUAGAUGAGCCCGCGUAAGAUUAGCUAGUUGGUGGGGUAAUGGCCUACCAAGGCGACGAUCUUUAGCUGGUCGGAGAGGAUGAUCAGCCACACUGGGACUGAGACACGGCCCAGACUCCUACGGGAGGCAGCAGUGGGUAAUAUUGGACAAUGGGCGCGAGCCUGAUCGAGCCAUGCCGCGUGAGUUAUGAAGGCCUUAGGGUUGUAAAGCUCUUUCACCGAUGAAGAUAAUGACGGUAGUCGGAGAAGAAGCCCCGGCUAACUUCGUGCCAGCCGCCGCCGUAACAC
rnacentral:rRNA from 1 species